AGUGAACGCUGGCGGUAGGCCUAACACAUGCAAGUCGAACGGCAGCACAGGAGAGCUAGCUCUCUGGGUGGCGAGUGGCGGACGGGUGAGGAAUACAUCGGAAUCUACUUUUUCGUGGGGGAUAACGUAGGGAAACUUACGCUAAUACCGCAUACGACCUACGGGUGAAAGCAGGGGACCUUCGGGCCUUGCGCGAUUGAAUGAGCCGAUGUCGGAUUAGCUAGUUGGCGGGGUAAAGGCCCUCCAAGGCGACGAUCCGUAGCUGGUCUGAGAGGAUGAGCAGCCACACUGGAACUGAGACACGGUCCAGACUCCUACGGGAGGCAGCAGUGGGGAAUAUUGGACAAUGGGCGCAAGCCUGAUCCAGCCAUACCGCGUGGGUGAAGAAGGCCUUCGGGUUGUAAAGCCCUUUUGUUGGGAAAGAAAUCCAGCUGGCUAAUACCCGGUUGGGAUGACGGUACCCAAAGAAUAAGCACCGGCUAACUUCGUGCCAGCCGCCGCCGUAA
rnacentral:rRNA from 1 species